UACGGAGGAUGCGAGCGUUCUCCGGAUUUACUGGGUGUAAAGGGAGCGUAGACGGUACGCCAAGUCUGAAGUGAAAUGCCGCAGCUUAACUGCGGAACUGCUUUGGAAACUGGCGGGCUAGAGUGCGGGAGGGGUAAGCGGAAUUCCUAGUGUAGCGGUGAAAUGCGUAGAUAUCAGGAGGAACACCGGUGGCGAAGGCGGCUUACUGGACCAUAACUGACGUUGAGGCUCGAAAGCGUGGGGAGCGAACAGG
rnacentral:rRNA from 1 species